AACGAACGCUGGCGGCAGGCCUAACACAUGCAAGUCGAACGAAGUCUUCGGACUUAGUGGCGCAAGGGUGAGUAACACGUGGGAAUAUACCUUACGCUGGGGGAUAACAUCGUGAAACUGAUGCUAAUACCGCAUACGCCCUUCGGGGGAAAGAUUUAUCGGCGAAAGAUUAGCCCGCGUCCUAUUAGCUAGUUGGUGAGGUAAUGGCUCACCAAGGCUCCGAUCGGUAGCUGGUCUGAGAGGAUGACCAGCCACACUGGGACUGAGACACGGCCCAGACUCCUACGGGAGGGAGGAGUGGGGAAUAUUGGACAAUGGGCGCAAGCCUGAACCAGCCAUGGCGCGUGAGUGAUGAAGGCCUUAGGGUUGUAAAGCUCUUUCACCCACGACGAUGAUGUCGGUAGUGGGAGAAGAAGCCCCGGCUAACUUCGUG
rnacentral:rRNA from 1 species